rnacentral:rRNA from 1 species
GCAGAACGCGAAGAACCUUACCUGGCCUUGACAUCCUAGGAAUCCCGAAGAGAUUUGGGAGUGCCGCAAGGAACCUAGAGACAGGUGCUGCAUGGCUGUCGUCAGCUCGUGUCGUGAGAUGUUGGGUUAAGUCCCGCAACGGGCGCAACCCUUGUCAUUAGUUGCUACGAAAGGGCACUCUAAUGAGACUGCCGGUGACAAACCGGAGGAAGGUGGGGAUGACGUCAAGUCCUCAUGGCCCUUAUAGGUGGGGCUACACACGUCAUACAAUGGCCGGUACAAAGGGCAGCCAACCCGCGAGGGGAGCUAAUCCCAUAAAGCCGGUCGUAGUCCGGAUCGCAGUCUGCAACUCGACUGCGUGAAGUCGGAAUCGCUAGUAAUCGUGGAUCAGCAUGUCACGGUGAAUACGUU